GGCGAACGGGUGAGUAACGCGUGAGGAACCUGCCUCAAANAGGGGGACAACAGUUGGAAACGACUGCUAAUACCGCAUAAGCCCACGGGUCGGCAUCGACCAGAGGGAAAAGGAGCAAUCCGCUUUGAGAUGGCCUCGCGUCCGAUUAGCUAGUUGGUGAGGUAACGGCUUACCAAGGCGACGAUCAGUAGCCGACCUGAGAGGGUGACCGGCCACAUUGGGACUGAGACACGGCCCAAACUCCUACGGGAGGCAGCAUG
rnacentral:rRNA from 1 species